ensembl:lincRNA Gm53 predicted gene 53
AGAGUUCUCCAGAUCCUCCAAGCGCCGUCGGCGCCACCACUCCAGACACUGUUCACGAGGCCUCAAAGCGUGGAGGCGGUGGCCCGGGGCCGACUCUCGGGUGACCGCCAAUUUGGUCCCAAGACACUUCAGGAUCUCGCAACGGAUGGAGGACAGCGCGGUUCCAAGAGAGGGCGCCAAAGGCGACGCGCUGGCGGCCAGCUCCAAGCCAACCAGGCCCAUUGCGUCCGUCUGCAGGAACCUGUCCCUUCACCCUGCUUUGGACACUGAGCUUCGGAGGAUCUGGCUGCGAGCUGAUUCAACGCCAGGGCGCCGCCUAGAGGUCGGUCGCGUCCUCGGUCUCGCUCACCGACCACAGAGCUGCUUGUCCAAGCCACAGUGUCAGACUUAAACAAAACAAAACAAAAUUCCUGCUUGGAUCAGAGACUUGGCUUCUGGGACCGUUGACUUAUCAGAAACUUGCCUCCUCUCUGCUUCAUAACGAACCCCAGGAAGAGAGAGGGACCAGGGAUCUCAAAGAAAUAUUUGUCCUUGUGGCACCGACUAGGUGGAAGAAAAGUCUCAACAUGUCAGUUUCUUUUAAGGAUCUUAGAUUCUGUGUCUAGGUCUGCACUGGUUCGUCUCACUACCCAGAUUGCUCAGCCUAACCUCCUUCUCCAGUUCGUGCCAGGACGAUGCUUUAACUUCACGAAGAAAGGGGACAUGGAAAAGUUACCCUUUUCUCUUAAAGAUCCAUUACAAGAUUUCUAGAUAAUUUGGAGAUGGACAUGUUUUGGAAAAGAAUUUGGAAAACAUCUCUGUGUGUGUGUGUGUGUGUGUGUGUGUGUGUGUGUGUGUGUGUGUGCAGUGAUAGGAAAAAAUUGCCCACAUAGCCUUUACUUACUAAGUAAACUCCCACUGGUGUCCCAGCAAUAGUCAAGGGGGUACUUGGAGACACCAGUAGCCCUGCCCAGGGAAGUUUGUGCUGAGCCCUUGAAAGCUGAUUUUUGAGAUAAGGAUGACCUUGGAAGGCAUCCGACCAACAGGGUUGAGGUGUCCUUAAAGUCCAUGCAGGCUUCUUUUUGGAGACUGAGAUCAAAAGCCUGAGUUGUGGAGCUGCAGAGCCUCCAAGAAUGCGUGCUCCGAGAGUGUGUAUACACACAAGGUAUGCUGAGCUAAAGGUGUACCUCUUCGGUUUUCCAAGGAGCCCCUGUCUCCAGUCAUGGAGCUACAGAGACCAGGCCAGCAGUGGGCUGGGAGCCAGCACACUGAUCUUGAGCCAUGGCUGUCCCUGACCAGGCAGCUCUAUUGGAGAUAGAAAAAUAAUAGUUUUGAGCAGCUGAGGACCGUUGGCCCACUCUGUCCUUCUUCCUCCCUCUCCUAUGUCUUCUAGAGGAAAAUGCUAAUCGAAGGUGUCAAGGUGUCACCACAGUGUUUCCAAUAGAAGUGGAGGAUGAUGAAGACCAAAGGGAGGGAGCACACAGUGAGGAUACAUGAUGGGCAGAGCUGCAGGGGCUCCCCCAUGUCAUUUUGGGAAAUAAAUAUUCUGUAGGUAUAAGAUACUUUCUGUCCCAGGUGCUCUUCCCUCUUGGUGCCAGGUCCUCCCACAGGGUGGACUACAACACUACUGCUCACCCCUAGCCAAUCUUUGGCAGAAUGAGACUGCCAAUUCAGCUUUUUUUUUUUUUUAAUAGGAGACACCUUGGUAUUUUCCGAGACCCCUUUAAAAAAAAUCUAUCUGUAUUUUUUUAAUCUCCAGAGGAGGGAGACUUGGCAGCACUUCCUGGAGGGAGGGAUGAGUUGGCUAGGCUGCUGCUGCACCUGUGUGUCUGCGGGACAGGGGACCCCUCCUGGGUCUGCAGCUGAGCCUGAGAUUAUCUCAGCCUUUUGAGUGUAUUUUAGACUCGAAGUUUUGGUGCUUGGUGAUGAAUAAUUGGGGUGAAGGGAAUCCCUUUGCUGUCCCCCCAAAUCGCACAAUCAUGUACUUCCAGUACACAAAGAGGGUCAGAAGCCACUAUCAUGGCUCCUGGUUCUCUGGAGUCCCCGGAGAAAGAGAAAUUUUUUUUUUCCUAUUAGUUUUGCGCUGCAGUGCUCUGGUAGAACAAAUCCGGAUUCCACGAAAAAUGUGGAGGGGGCGGGAGCAAACUGCCCAUGACGGAAGGCAGUGGCAACUUGAGGUCCACUGCUUGCUUUGAUUUGGUUUUGAAGCUUGUAAAAGAAAGGGAGAGAAGCAAGCAGUGAGACUCGGGGACAAGGAACGUCAUUGUGCUGUCAUUUGUGCUUUGUACGCGGGACAAGGAGAUCCCCGCGGGUUUCACCUCUGGAGCGGUUCACUGCUCAGCCUCCUUCAAGCCCUGAGAGUUUUCCAAGUCUUAUCCCCUGUCCUAUUUUAACAAGUACCUGGCAAUAAACGGGUGGGGCAGGACAAAGGUCUGGAAGCCGGAAAGCAGCGGAAAACCCUAAACCCCCGCAACAAGCAGAUAGCACAUCAGCUGGGCUUGUAGCGAGGAGUGCAGGGCUCCCAGCUCUGCCUAGCAGGUUGCUAGGAGCCCCGCAUCCAGAGUCCUUGGCUUGGCUCUGGGUUCUAGGGGCCCAGGUUAGGCGUCCACAGGCUUCCAGUCCUGGCCACGGAGCUAGAGAGAAAGGCACAGAGGCCCGGGAGACUUCUCUCCACGCGGGCAGAGUCUGCAAGCUCCUUUAGCCUAGUAAAUUGUUUUCCUUUCCUUAUACCCGCCCCGGUCGUGUUUCUUUUCAGGACAAGAGGGGAUAUAAACUGUUUGAAGUUCAUCAGCACGGUGAAGUUUUAUUGUAUUUCCGGUCCCUAAAAGAGAAGCCGGCAGCCAGGCAGACUCCCUCCUUAUCUCCGAGUUUCCACGCCAGGGACACACACGUGGCCAAGCGGACACUUGCCUUCGGGAGCAGGGAGGGAGAGAGCCCGCUCCGAUCGACUCUCCCUCACCGGCUCAGGUAAGUCUAAGAGGCCUCUGAUAGUUGUGGCAUCAACUGAGCCACAACCUGUGAGGAUGUGCGAAGUGACUUUGUAGGGAUGGAAGAGAGCGGGAGACAAGGAUGUACUCAGACUAGAGGAAGCAAACUUGUUCUCUGCCUUUCCCCAGCCAGGUCCUCAACGUCUCCACUUCUUUGUAAAUGUGGAAAAGAGUGGCCUACCUGGGGCUGUCCAGCAGCUGUGAAACCAGAGUCCUAUCGUAUGCCAGCAGAGUGACUGUUUCAGCCUUAUUGUUUGUGCCCUAGAAUUCACGGUGCCUUCUAACCCUGACUU